UACGAAGGGGGCUAGCGUUGCUCGGAAUCACUGGGCGUAAAGCGCACGUAGGCGGCUUCUUAAGUCGAGGGUGAAAUCCUGGAGCUCAACUCCAGAACUGCCUUUGAUACUGAGGAGCUUGAGUCCGGGAGAGGUGAGUGGAACUGCGAGUGUAGAGGUGAAAUUCGUAGAUAUUCGCAAGAACACCAGUGGCGAAGGCGGCUCACUGGCCCGGUACUGACGCUGAGGUGCGAAAGCGUGGGGAGCA
rnacentral:rRNA from 1 species